AUCCAGAUGAUGAGUUCCAAAUAGGACGAAACGUGCGUCCUAGAU
rnacentral:hammerhead_ribozyme from 1 species